UCAGUUCUCGAGAAAGUUCUGGGUGGGGGUGAGGGUUUUUCGCCAUGUGGGGUUGCAGGCUACAUCGGACGGCCGGCAACUUCCGGGAAAUUGUCUCCGUUCUUGGGUAGAUCUGUUGCUGGAAGGUGCUGAGAGUAUGGAGUUGGAGAACCCAAUGUUUGAGGUGGUGCAUGUUAAUGGUUGACCUCGUAUUCUUAUCCCGGAGAUAGUCAUGGAAUGACGCUUCGACAAUGUCGAUGAUCAAAUUAGGGUUCGCCUGUAUUUGCGUGGAAAUGCCCCUGUGUUUCACCCCCAAAUCAAAGGUAGAGGCCUCGAUAGGGAACAGGAGUGUUAAUCUUACAGCAGGAGCAAUACAAAAGCUGCUUGAAACUUUGUUCUACCUGUAAGGUCGUUUCGCGUAAGGCUAAGGAUUGUAGAUGGCGCUUGUCACAAGAGAAUGAUAGAGCGUUAUGAUCAGAAAUCGACCUAGACGAUGUAAAUCUUUGAGAAGGGUCUUCAAAAAUUUUCGAGUCACAACCAUUCACAAAAUCCAGAAAGACAGAGCAUGCAGCUAUAGAGGGAAGUUUCCUGUUUUAUCAUUACCAUUUCUCAUGUUAGUAAAAUCACCCACCAGUACAAUAGAUUGACUAAAAGAACUAAUUUCAAAAGUCAGCGCAUGAAAUAAAGUUCUUCUGAUAGCGCGUAGUAUGCAAAUACUGGCCAAAAGCAGAAAAACUGAAAUUAAGACGUCUAUCUAGAUAAUCAACCUGAAACCAAUACUUACCGUAACUCACUGAAUUCACCAAUAACUUUGCAGGCUGCCAACCCACAAUAAUCUGGGCCCUACGAAACUUUGAGCAGUUCUUUUACAGUGAUGGUAGCGAAGGAGUUCUCCUUUAUAGUCACGGGCCCAAGGUUUCAGAGGCUGACAAUCAGUUUCUUCUGCGCCCUGUGCUUUAUGAUGAGAUCUGGAAAACUUGUUAGAAAGGUAAAUAAAUCAAUAUCCAUACAAAGGUGCAGGUAGCGAUUGACGUGAAGGACCAUCGACCGAUAGCCUUAUGCAACAAUGCGUAUAAGGUAAUCACCAAAAUUAUUGUUGAUUGUAUGACAGUUUGCUUGUCUAUAGUGAUUGGGGAUGAACAGGGAGCAUUUUUGCCCGAAGUAUUCAUACGACACCAAAUGUUUCUUGUGCAAAAAUUUACAAACAGCCUAGAGAGACGCAAGGGGCAUUCAGAGGGCUGAGACAGGGAGAUCUGACGUCCUCUUCUUUUUCUUCUUGUUGCUGAGGUCCUUUCAAGUUGGCUUAAAAGCUGAUGCUAUGCAAUGUAAAAAUUUUUGCUCCCAAGUUUAAAGGAUCUGACAUGCUACCACCCGGGUUGUUUUUUGUUGACGAUAUGAUCGUUUUUAGUGCUGCCAAAAAUAAAAUCUAUUCUGAAUAUUGAGGCUGCACUAGCUGAGUUUUGUGCCAAGUCAGGAUUGACAGUUAACCCUGCAAAAAUCGGCAGUAAUUCCUUUCAAAAUACAAAAGAAGAGUUGUAGUGAGAUUAUUUCUAUCCUUGCGUACAGAAACCAGAGGUCUCACCCUUGACAUACCUGGGCGUACCUCUCUUUAAGGGCAAUUCUGCAAUCAGUAUGGGGAGCAACUGAUUCUGAUAGUUAAGAACGGGUUGGUGGGAUUCUUAAGGCAAAUUUUGCCUAAUUAAGCAUGUUAUUGACCAGUUGAUAGUGUACUGGCUUUCAGAGUGCCAUCGUCGAUUUUAUGCUCUCUUGAAAAAUGUUGCAGUGAUUUCUUAUGGCGUAAAGAGGAGAAUCAUCAGAAAUAUCAUGCUUUUAGUUGGUCUAGUCUGCGCUUUCCCACUGGGAAAGGUGGACUGGGUCUAGGGAAGCUGGCUACUCAUUAUAGAGCUAAUAUGAGCUUGCUGACAUUAAGAAUUAGAACGUCAGAUUUUGUUUAGGCCCGUUUCUGCAGAACAAAUUAUUUCUCUGAUGGUAGUUUAUGGACAUGUAAACCCAACUCCUCUAUGUUCUAUUCGUGGAAAGGGAUUUUAUGGCGAUGGGGAGAUGCCAGUCAUCUCAUUCAAUGGAAAAGUGGGCAAUAGUACACAUCCAUGUGGUGCAUCUCAAAAGGCAAGGAACAAAUGAGAAGAUCAGAAAUAAAAAGCCAGUCGAUCCUCCGAGAAAUCAUGUUUGGCAAGAUGAUGCCUUGCCUAGAGCUAACUGGUGCUAGCCAUGGAAGGGAGGUCAUUGAUCUAGACAGAAAUAAGAAAUUUGGCGUUCAGCUGACCAACAGAUGCUGUUGUGUGGGAAACCUGAAGAGUCUGUGUUUCACUUAUCUUUGGAAUGCCAUGUAGUCAAGAAACUGUGGAAAUUUGUGGGGUGGAAAUUCAGUAGAGGGAUUCCAACCUUUGCAUCAUUGAAGAAUUCCCUUUGAUGGUUGUGGAAACGGAAAUUCAAGCAGAAAUGGUCGCAGGGGAUGGCGUUUUGUGCUUUCCUACUAUUGUAAGGAAAAUUUGGAAGCCUAUAAAUGCCAUAGUGCAUAAGGGGAAGACUUGUAACUCUAGGACGGAUGAAAAAGUUGUUAUGGGAAGAUUUUAAGCAGAUCUUGUUAUCAGCCAGUUGGUGUGAUAAAGUUAGGGAUGAGGUGAAGAAGUGGAUACUUACAGGUGUUUAGGCCAGAAACUUGGCCCUCAUUCCGCUGCUUGGCAGAUGAUAAUCCAAUCUGCUUGCUGGUGGGUGGGCGACUGUCAGAAGUUCGCAUGUAUUGUGAAAUUGAAGAAUAUGAAGAUCUCAUUUUAUGGAGUCUGCUAUGUCCUAGUAGCCGUAAGUGGCAUGCCUUUGAGUUGUGGUGAAUAUUAGGAGAUGUUCUCCUAAUUUCAUAGGGAAUGUUGGAGUUGUGGCAGGAUCGGGAGGCUCGAAGUAUGAAUGGAAGAAAGCUAGUAGAGAUCCACACCCUUCCUCAACUUGGGGUGGAGCUGCAUCCUCUACUAUGACGCAUUUUUUGUCUUCUGAAUUGUGCACUGUCGUCGGAGAUGACUGAACCAUUUCAGUUCGAUUUAUCUCUGCACCCAAAUGCGAAGUGAGCAUCCUCAUAUUAGGCAGAGGAUUGUGAUUUGUUUCUUUGCCGUCUUUUUUCUUUCUUUUGUUGUAGACUGUUCUUUCAUUCUUUUUAAUAAAGGUGGGGAGA